AGGUAUCUCAUUGUGAUUGAUGAUGUAUGGACCAUAUCUGCUUGGGAUGCAAUACGAUGUGAACUUCCAGAAAACAACAAUAGUAGCAGAAUCAUUGUGACCACACGGAUAGAGAGUGUUGCCAAAACAUGUAGCCCAAGUAGUGCUUGGGGACAUUAUAUCCAUCAAGUCAAACCCCUCAAGCCAGAAGAUUCCAAGAGACUCUUUCUUGACAGGGUAUAUGGCCAGGUCAAUGCUUGCCCUGAGGAGCUGAGUGAGGCAAUGGAUGAAAUUUUGAGGAAAUGUGGCGGGUUGCCAUUAGCAAUUGUUAGCAUUGCUAGCCUUCUUGCUAGCUACGAGUCUCAUAGAAGGUUGGAGAUGUGGAGGAGAAUUUGCACUUCAAUUGGUUCUCAAAUGGAGAGUAACCCUACCCUUGAGGGCAUGCGACAGUUAAUUACACUCAGCUACAAUCACUUGCCUCAUCAUCUCAAAGCUUGUAUGAUGUAUCUCAGCAUUUUCCCGGAGGACUAUGUGUUAAACAAGGAUCGACUAUUCAAUAGAUGGAUUGCUGAGGGGUUGAUACCAGAGAAGCGAGGGUUGACACUACAUGAGGUUGCAGAAGCAUACUUUGACGAGCUGCUGAGUAGGAACAUGAUCAAACCAGAAGGAAUUACUUAUGAAGCUGAAGUGACAGAGUGCAGUGUGCAUGAUAUGAUGCAUGAGGUCAUUGUGUCUAAGUCCCUUGAGGCAAACUUUGUCAGCUUGGUAGGAGGCUCAUGUGGAGGAACAUCACACGACACUGUUCGACGCCUCUCAGUUCAGGGCGACCUGGAUCCUAGUGUUGAGGAGAUGAGCUUGCGACAUGUACGGUCUCUAAGCUCAUUUCGCCCAGAAGGUAAAGUCAAGUUGCUUGAUCGGCUCCCCGAGUUCAUCUUACUCAGGGUACUCGACCUAGAAAGCUGCAAAGACGUGAGAGAUUACCAUUUGAAGUCCAUUUGCCGGUUGUUCCUGCUCAGAUUCUUGAAUUUAAACGAUACAGAUAUUACAGUAUUGCCUAGUCAGAUAGGUGAGCUACGACACUUGCGGACACUAUGGCUACAUAAUACACUCCUUGACGGUGUGCCAGAAUCAAUGGUAAAUCUGGAGAAACUUGAGAACUUGUCCUUCUUCAAGAGAAAUGAUUGGAAUAGAUAUGUGAGGCUGCCUUCAGGCCUCCGGAAAAUGAAGGCACUAUGAGUGAUGCCAAGGCUAGAACUCGACGAGGAUGAUGUUGAACUUGCUGAGGAGCUAGGCGACUUGGUGCAGCUACGAAAACUGCAUAUCAACCUCCAGUGCAGAGACUGUUGGGACAAGCCUGUUCUCACAGAGCUUGGGAGAUCCAUUGGCAAGCUAAGCUCCCUUCGUGAGUUUGGCAUUGAAGAUAUGACAUUUAUUAAUGCAAACAACAUGAGAUUUCUCGAACACCUCCCUCCACCGCAGCUCCUCCAUAAACUCAAGAUUGGUGGCAAACUUGACAGAAUUCCACCUUGGGUGCAGUCCCACACACACCUUGUUGAUAUAGAAUUUUGGUGGAUAGACAUGUCGGCUGAUGAAAUAUAUGGUGUCCUGCACAAGUUGCCUAACCUGUUAAGGAUCAGCUUCGACAGGAGAUGCUGCAAUGAGGCAGAAUUGGUGGCGCGCACCACCUCUAUGUUCCCGGUGCUCAAGGUGCUUGAAUUUCACCGUGACGUGUUGCCGAGAGUUAUCCAAUUUGAGAGUGGGUCCAUGGAUAAUCUCAUGAGGCUCAGAGUAUGCUUUGAUGAUGAGCAUAGGCGCCUGGAUGGUACGGAGAACUUGAUCGGUCUUAAGGAGGUGGAGCUCGUUGGUAAGAGAAACACCAAAGCACUACACGAUGCAGUGGAGCAGCUGAAGACAGAGAGUCAAAGUCGCGCUGAAUCUGAGCAGUUCAAAGUUAUAGUGAAAUAUGAAUGA
rnacentral:rRNA from 1 species